UACGGAGGUGGCAAGCGUUGUUCGGAAUUACUGGGCGUAAAGGGCGCGUAGGUGGCCUUUUGAGUCAGACGUGAAAUCCCCCGGCUUAACCUGGGAACUGCGUCUGAUACUGGAAGGCUUGAGUUCGGGAGAGGGAUGUGGAAUUCCAGGUGUAGCGGUGAAAUGCGUAGAUAUCUGGAGGAACACCGGUGGCGAAGGCGGCAUCCUGGACCGAAACUGACACUGAGGCGCGAAAGCCAGGGGAGCAAACGGG
rnacentral:rRNA from 1 species